rnacentral:tRNA from 1 species
GCCACUUUAGCUCAGCUGGUAGAGCGUCGGUAUCGUAAACCGCAGGUCGUGGGUUCAAAUCCCACAAGUGGCUCCA